rnacentral:rRNA from 1 species
AUUGAACGCUGGCGGCAGGCCUAACACAUGCAAGUCGAGCGAGCGGCGGACGGGUGAGUAAUGCCUGGGAAUUGCCCAGUCGAGGGGGAUAACAGUUGGAAACGACUGCUAAUACCGCAUACGAUUGGAUUGCCCAGGUGGGAUUAGCUAGUUGGUGAGGUAAUGGCUCACCAAGGCGACGAUCCCUAGCUGGUCUGAGAGGAUGAUCAGCCCACAUUGAAAUGAGAAACCGGCCCAACUCCUACGGGAGGGAGCAGGGGGGAAUAUUGCAACAUGGGGGGAACCCUGAUGGAGCCAUGCCGCGUGGGUGAAGAAGGCCUUCGGGUUGUAAAGCACUUUCAGGGGGGAAGCGUUACUCGCCGAAGAAGCACCGGCUAACUCCGUGCCAGCAUCCGCGGUAAUAC